rnacentral:piRNA from 1 species
UUCACGGGGCAUCUCACACAAUGUUAGGGACU